rnacentral:rRNA from 1 species
UGAAACACGGACCAAGGAGUUUAACAUGUGCGCGAGUCAUUGAGGGGCAGACUCAAAGGCGCAAUGAAAGUGAAGGUAGUUUCGGACUGCCGAUACGCGAUCCGUAUUAAUUUACGGCGCAGCGUAGCCCCAUCCCGACUGCUUGCAGUGGGGUGGCGGAAGAGCGCACAUGCUGAGACCCGAAAGAUGGUGAACUAUGCGUGAGCAGGACGAAGCCAGAGGAAACUCUGGUGGAGGUCCGAAACGGUUCUGACGUGCAAAUCGAUCGUCAGACUUGCGUAUAGGGGCGAAAGACUAAUCGAACCAUCUAGUAGCUGGUUCCCUCUGAAGUUUCCCCCAGGAUAGCUGGAGCUCGGGCCGACCAGUUGUAUCUGGUAAAGCGAAUGACUUGAGGCCUUGGGAACGAAACGAUCUCAACCUAAUCUCAAACUUUCAAUGGGUACGAAGUCCCGGUUGCUUGUCUCGAACCGCGGACAGUGAAUGAGAGCUCCAAGUGGGCCAUUUUUGGUAAGCA